AUUGAACGCUGGCGGCAGGCUUAACACAUGCAAGUCGAGCGGGGUGAUGGUGCUUGCACUAUCACUUAGCGGCGGACGGGUGAGUAAUGCUUAGGAAUCUGCCUAUUAGUGGGGGACAACAUCUCGAAAGGGAUGCUAAUACCGCAUACGUCCUACGGGAGAAAGCAGGGGAUCACUUGUGACCUUGCGCUAAUAGAUGAGCCUAAGUCGGAUUAGCUAGUUGGUGGGGUAAAGGCCUACCAAGGCGACGAUCUGUAGCGGGUCUGACAGGAUGAUCCGCCACACUGGGACUGAGACACGGCCCAGACUCCUACGGGAGGCAGCAGUGGGGUGUAUUGGACAAUGGGGGGAACCCUGAUCCAGCCAUGCCGCGUGUGUGAAGAAGGCCUUAUGGUUGUAAAGCACUUUAAGCGAGGAGGAGGCUCUUUUGGUUAAUACCCAAGAUGAGUGGACGUUACUCGCAGAAUAAGCACCGGCUAACUCUGUGCCAGCCGCCGCGGUAA
rnacentral:rRNA from 1 species